rnacentral:tRNA from 1 species
GGAAGGGUGGCUGAGUCCGGUUUAAGGCACUCGACUCGAAAUCGAACGUAGGGUAACCUACCGAGGGUUCAAAUCCCUCCCCUUCCGCCA